ensembl:ncRNA C43G2.26 ncRNA
AUCAAGGGAAUAAUAUACAAAUCAGAGAGACUUAGACAAUACUGGACGGGACGCGGGUGAGACCCCUCUCUCCCGAUGUUGUCCACUUCUCAACGCUCUCUUGAUUUUCAACUAUUUCUCUUCGAACUCUGAUUCUCUAUAUCUCUUUCUCCCUCUCU